rnacentral:tRNA from 6 species
GGGGCCUUAGCUCAGCUGGGAGAGCGCCUGCUUUGCACGCAGGAGGUCAGGGGUUCGAUCCCCCUAGGCUCCACCA